AUUGAACGCUGGCGGCAUGCCUUACACAUGCAAGUCGAACGGUAACAGGUCUUCGGAUGCUGACGAGUGGCGAACGGGUGAGUAAUACGUCGGAACGUGCCCGAGAGUGGGGGAUAACGAGGCGAAAGCUUUGCUAAUACCGCAUACGAUCUCAGGAUGAAAGCAGGGGACCGCAAGGCCUUGCGCUCACGGAGCGGCCGAUGGCAGAUUAGGUAGUUGGUGGGAUAAAAGCUUACCAAGCCGACGAUCUGUAGCUGGUCUGAGAGGACGACCAGCCACACUGGGACUGAGACACGGCCCAGACUCCUACGGGAGGCAGCAGUGGGGAAUUUUGGACAAUGGGCGCAAGCCUGAUCCAGCCAUGCCGCGUGCAGGAUGAAGGCCUUCGGGUUGUGAACUGCUUUUGUACGGAACGAGAAGACUCUGGUUAAUACCUGGGGUCCAUGACGGUACCGUAAGAAUAAGCACCGGCUAACUACGUGCCAGCCGCCGCCGUAAUAC
rnacentral:rRNA from 1 species